rnacentral:rRNA from 1 species
AUUGAACGCUGGCGGCAUGCCUUACACAUGCAAGUCGAACGGUAACAGGUCUUCGGAUGCUGACGAGUGGCGAACGGGUGAGUAAUACAUCGGAACGUGCCUAGUAGUGGGGGAUAACUACUCGAAAGAGUGGCUAAUACCGCAUGAGAUCUACGGAUGAAAGCAGGGGAUCGCAAGACCUUGUUCUACUAGAGAGGCCGAUGGCAGAUUAGGUAGUUGGUGGGAUAAAAGCUUACCAAGCCGACGAUCUGUAGCUGGUCUGAGAGGACGAUCAGCCACACUGGGACUGAGACACGGCCCAGACUCCUACGGGAGGCAGCAGUGGGGAAUUUUGGACAAUGGGCGCAAGCCUGAUCCAGCAAUGCCGCGUGCAGGAUGAAGGCCUUCGGGUUGUAAACUGCUUUUGUACGGAACGAAAAGCCCUGGGUUAAUACCCUGGGGUCAUGACGGUACCGUAAGAAUAAGCACCGGCUAACUACGUGCCAGCAGCAGCCGCGG